GAGUUUGAUCGUGGCUCAGAUUGAACGCUGGCGGCAUGCCUUACACAUGCAAGUCGAACGGCAGCACGGGAGCUUGCUCCUGGUGGGCGAGUGGCGAACGGGUGAGUAAUGCAUCGGAACGUAUCCUGGAGUGGGGGAUAACGUAGCGAAAGUUACGCUAAUACCGCAUAUUCUGUGAGCAGGAAAGCGGGGGACCUUCGGGCCUCGCGCUCUUGGAGCGGCCGAUGUCGGAUUAGCUAGUUGGUGAGGUAAAGGCUACACCAAGGCGACGAUCCGUAGCAGGUCUGAGAGGAUGAUCUGCCACACUGGAACUGAGACACGGUCCAGACUCCUACGGGAGGCAGCAGUGGGAAUUUUGGACAAUGGGGGCAACCCUGAUCCAGCCAUGCCGCGUGAGUGAAGAAGGCCUCGG
rnacentral:rRNA from 1 species